GGACCUGGAGGGUGGUACAUACAGGCAGUGACGAGGCAGUCACAUGAUUGGGUUUACAACCAAUCAGAAGCCAGAACAGAGAGACUAUAGAGACAGACACACAGGAAGGAGGGCUCCUCUUUCGGAGAGCUCUCUUGGCUGAGGAGGAUCCCUGAAUCAGGAAGGGUGAGGCUCUUGGCUCUGACCUCCUGGCUUUCUUCUCUGAAUCGGCUCUGUGUUCUUCUGUCUGAUAAAACCGUUGGCUACAUCUACACUGAAUUACAUCUACAUUUGGCGCCCAACGUGGGGUGAAUCCGUUAAAAACCGUUUAACUGCUAAGCUGGAUUCACACCUCGGACACUAGGUGGCUGUUUUGAAAUUCCCUCGGAUUUGUACUGUUCUACGAGGACUUGGUUAUCCAAUAUUUUAAAGGAAACUAUUUAAAGAGAAAUUUUUUUCCACAUUUAAAAAAAAAUAGAGAAUGGGUUUUCUGUGUUCAUUAGAAGAAAAUUGGGCUUUGUUUGCAAUUUUAGACAGUCUAACAAUGGAACAGUUAUAUGAGAAGAUUAAUGUUGAUAGAAUUAUGCAUUUUAUUACUAUAUUUAUUCUUAUUUUACUAUUUAAGAAGAUAGCUAAUUUAAGUGCCAGGGUGACAGCUUUAGAAAAACUUGAUACACUUGUGAAAACUCAGACAGAAGAAACUAACAGUGAAGUUGCUUCAAGAUUGGAUCAUAGGGUUACAGAAAGAAAGCCUGUUUUCACACAGUCACCCUUAGUUUGUCCAGUAACCGUACAGCAGUUGCCUGAUCAAAUGACUACACAAAAUAUUUGGGCUCCAAUCGAAAUGUUAGAUUUACAAAGGUUUAAGGAGGCAAUAGUAUCUUAUGGCAUGCAUUCCCCAUAUGUAAAGCAAAUGUUAAACUCUUGGUCAACAUAUAAUAGGAUUGUACCACAGGAUUGGCGGGAGCUGGCACAAGCUGUUCUGGAACCCAGUCAAAGGCUUCAGUGGCUAACUUGGUUCAAGGAUGAAGCUAAAAACAUAGAAAAACAGUGGAGGGAUAAAGGAAUACAAGUCUGCCAGGAUCAGCUUAUGGGAGAAGGUCAAUAUGCUUCAGCACCAGCACAAUGUUUAUAUGAUGUCCAAACCCUAAUUUUAUGUCGAACAGCAGCCUUGAAUGCAUGGGACAGAGUUGAGGAACCAGGAAAAAAAACUGAGUCAUUUACAAAGGUUGUACAAGGCCCAAAAGAAUCUUUCACAGACUUUUUACAAAGACUGGCUUCAGCAGUAAAGAGAAUGGUCCCGGAUUCAGAAGCUGGUAAGAUAAUAAUUGAAACUUUGGCCUUUGAGAAUGCGAAUGCAGCAUGCAAAACAAUAAUCAGGCCGUUAAAGGCAAGAUCUGCACCUUUGGAAGAUUGGAUUAGAGACACGGUUAAUGUUGAAACUCAUGAGCAUGAUGAUACGUGGGUAGAAGAAGCAAUUUCAAGAGGUUUGAGGAAUGUUAGAUGUUUUGGAUGUGGAAGGCAAGGACAUUUGAAAAGGGAUUGUAAACAGGUCAUUCCUAGAAACAAUGUUUCCUCAAGGAACAAUGGCAACAGAAUGCCCCUUCCUUCUGGAGUAUGCAGAAGGUGUGGUAAGGGAAAACACUGGACCAACGAAUGUAGAUCAACAAGGGACAGACAGAGUAAUCCUUUGCCUCAGUCUUCGGGAAACUCCCAGAGGGGCCUCAUGCAGGCCCCAAUAGCAAAUCCAGUUCAAACCUUUCCUGCAUUCGUAGAGGAAACCCCUACCCAGAGCAAUUAAAUAACCAAAUGCCUAUUGGAAUAAGUCAUGCUGGUCAGGAUGAUGAAACAGAGAGAACAGAAAAUUCAGGAGCAAAUAUAAAGAAAAUUUUUUGGCAAACUUCUAUUGAAAGAUCAAACAGAACUCUAAAGGAUAUGCUAAAUAAACAGAAAAGGGUAACAAAAACCCCCAGAAACAGACUGCAUAAUGCUCUAUUAACUUUGAAUUUUCUUAAUGCCAAUGAGAAAGGAACAACAGCUGCAGAGAGACAUUGGAUAAUAGAAAAAACUACAGAAUUAAAUCAGCCUAUAUACUUUAAGGAUGUGCUGACCUCAGAAUGGAAACCAGGGAUAAAGAUAACUUCACCCAUACCCAGUAGGAAGCAAUUUUAAGAAUACGACGCCCACAUUCCCAAAGAGGUGGUGUGGGGCAGGUCAAGGGACCAGGGAUUGGCCUGCUGGGGACUUCCAAAGGGGCUGAACUCUGCCUCUCCAUGGCCUCUUUCCUGAAAGGCAUCACGGCUGCUGUCAUAAUCAAUG